CAUAGGAAGAGAGAGAACAUGGCUAAAAAUCUCAAGUUAGUUCCUGCUAUAAUUUUAUUUCUUUUCCUAUUUCUUAUUACGAAGGAUGAUUUCAAGGAUCCAAAAGUCAUUGCAACAUCUAUCCCAUGUACAUCUACUAAUGAUUGUCCUAAAAUAUCUGCACGUAGCAAACAUGUCGCUAAUGUAUGCAUGGAUGGCUAUUGUCAUAAAAUGAUUUUCAAGCCAUAGAAAGUAAACAAACGCCACAUGUAGGGAAGAUUAAUGAAUUCUUCCGGUAGCAACCAAUAAUUAUAUUUUAAUUUUUUGUUUUUUAAUUUCAUGCAUCUUGCAACUUUGCCUUUGUACUCUAAAAUAUUGGUAAUGAAAUUAAAUUAAAUAGUCUGUUUAUCUCUUGUUUUGGAUGUCUCACAAAUAUUUCACCCACCUUUGACUUUGUACUCUCAAAUUUGUUUCGGCUAUAAUUUUACUUUUUUCCUAUUUUUUGCUGCGAAGAAAGUUGACAGUUAGCCAAAUAUCACUGCAACAUUUAUCAGAUGUAAUCAUGUAAAAGUGCUGACGAUUGUCCACAAAUAUUUGUAGGCAACACACAACUUUUCUAUGUGCAUUAAUGGCUAUUGUGAACAAGAGUACUGAAUAUCAAAUUCAAGAGAGUAGAUAAAGGCACCAAUGGGUAAUUUCAAUAAACUAGCUUAUAGUUAUUGAACUAACUUAUAAGUUUGUUUGAUAAAAAUAUGAAGUGUUUGGUAACGAGCUUUUUUAACUAACUUAUAGCAUUUUUUGAGAUGCUAUUUCAAGUAGCGUAUGAGUUUAUAGCUUAUAGCUUUUUACAUUUAUCCCAUUUUUACCCUUAUUAUUUUUAUUUAUUAUUUCUUUAUUUUUUUUUAAAUAUAAUAACUACCCACUAACCAUACCCAUUAAUCAUGCACUUUUAUGUCAUUUUGUACUUACAACAACUAAAUUUACCAAACACAUUAAUUUUAUUCUACUAGCUUUUCAGCUAUAAGCUAUCCGCCACCAGCUAUCAGCUAUAAGUUAGCUUUUCAGCUAUCAACUAACUUAUAGCUUAUUUUUAUCAAACAGAGCCAAACUAACAAAUAUGAAGACUCUCCAUUGAUGAAGGAGAAAAAACUUGAAUAUGAGACAUAAAGAUUGAAAUCAAGUUAAAAAUUGGUAAUAAUGCAUAUAUAUAUAGAUGAAGUAGUUACAACUAUCUUAUCUACAUAGACUAACAAACAUAACUAACUCCCUUGAGCAUGUAAAUGUUAGUGAGCCCUGUUGCAGGUAUUGAGCAUGUAAAUUUUAACCAAAAGAAUAUGAUAGUAGCCAUCAAGAAUAAAAAGAAAAAGAUGCAGAAAUCUUUAUUAAGCAUAAACCUUUAUUGUUUGACCCCUUAUACUUCUAUAUUAUUUUGAGAGGUUUAGACCUCUUUUAAUAUUUCUUUUCUAGAACAUAUUAUUACCUCUAUAGCAUCGACACUUUUGAUCAAAUGCGUGUCCAAUAGAACAUGUAAUGAAUGGGAAAAAAUUGCUAAAAGAGAAUUAUCAAAGGCAAUGAAUUAAAGAUGAUUCAAAUGGAAUGUUAGUAAGUUUUACCAUACUAUUGACCAACAAAAGGAUAUAGUUGAAUGUUAAACCAAAUUCUACACAGUUAACACUACAAAAGAAAAUGAUAACCCUGCAUUCAAUCACUAAUGAAACUCAGAAUCACCAACGGGAAAUUGAAAUCAAAAUAAUGAAAAACAACAUUGCCAAGCAAAGAAUUUAUGAUGACAAGCAUUUAACACACAAGUGCAUGAAAGACAGCAGAUUCAUCAGAUGGAGUAGUCACAAAAAUUCUUACCCAACCUGUCUAAAAUAUUUGUGUUUGUUUAGUGGAUCGACCUUCAGCAGAUUCAAUGAUCCCACUUCUACCGUCGUUACUGGUCAUCACCUUUUUCUUAUAUCAUAGUAAGUAUAACUUUCUAUUUGAUGCACAUAUAAAGUAUUAAGAACGAUAAGAAAUAUUUGUAGAGACAAAAAGAGAGUAGUAAGAGGGAUGACAAAGGAUAAGAACUUUACUCUGAUUUUUUUUAGUGAAAUAUUUACACAAAUAUGAACAAAGUUACAUGUAAUGUCAAUGGAUGGUAUUUUUAUCCAUCUAUCAAACUGAAUUGAUCAUGCAAUUUAUAAUCCAUACAACUGAAUUAACCAUUUCACAUGUUACAUCGCUUUAAUAUAAAUGACGCAGACAAUGGAAGUAAUGAUAAUAAUCUCUCCCAACCUACUGACUUGAGAAAAACUGUGACAAACAUCAAAGGCAUGGAUCAAGUUUUUGUGGCAGUAGCUUAAGCUUCACAUUCUUGUUCAUCUUCUAAGUCAGUCAUCCAUAAUGCUCAACCUCUACAAGCUAUUGCAAUGGAUUACUGUACCAAGUCAAUUAGCUUGUUUUGAUGUUUCAAGUUCUCACCACCACUGUCGUCUUUGUCAAAAUGAAUCUCGUCCUAAGUCCUUUCAUUCUAGUUUAAUUAAAGAGAAUAACGGGGCAAAGAAAAAAAGAGGAAUAAGGACAGUAUUGUUAACAUUCACUUAAUGUUGUUACUGAAUAUUAUAGGCAAAGGUAGUAAGUUACUAUUUAGUAAAUUACAAGCACCUGCUAUUUGUCUAUGGAGAAAGAGUAUUUAGGUCUUCCAUGUCAUCGUCAGAAGAAACAUUGUUGUUAUCAAGUGUUGAGUACAUAGUUUUGUCACCAUCAAUCACCUUUUCAUUUUUCUUAUCAUCCUGAAAUCAACAACAAAAACUUAUGACCUAUCCAAAGUAUUUACAACAGAGUAAUAUAGAAGUGAUAAAAUGUCAUACUAGUUCAGAUUUGAGCAAGUCAAUCAUCUCCUGUAAAUCUGAGAUAUGAUGUUUUAGUGCCUGAAAAAAAUAUACAAAGUUCAUGAGAUUAUAGAACAAGUAAAAAUCUCAGUAACUCCUUUUUUUUUACAGGCUAUUGCUUUAUUACCUCUAGUCUUUGAAGCUCCAUUGAUCGAGCCAAUGCCUGUCUCCGUGUCAACAAGCUUUUGGGCCUAAUAACCUGUGGACGGAAGUAGUUCUUCCCACGAUAAAUAAUUAUUAUAUGGCCUUUGGUAUCCUUGUCUACAGACACUAGCACCCCACCACUCUCAGCUUCCAAAGAUAUUGCAAUGUGUUUAACUUGGGCUAAAUUUUUCCCUUUUACAAGUAUCUUUACCAACUCGCGAUAUUUCCAGUGUAGAUGCAUGUUUUCUAUGGUGCCGGCAUAAACAUCUCGCCUCCCUGAAAAUCUCAUGCUUUUAACAUAUUUUGUAUAAUAAAUAUGUACAAAAGCAGAACUUAUAAAGCUAUAGUAAAUUUGUUGUUCUUACCUAGAAGUAAGUAUGGCUUCAUACUCAAACCCAUCUUCCUAAACAAAAUUCUCUCUUCAUUAGUUAAUGUCUCCAAAUCAGUUGGAAGGUCUGCUGCGUUGAAACCACCCUGUAUUUUAACUAAAUCUCUCUCGGCCUUCCUGAACCUUGCUUUUGCCUAUAGCCAUAUAAAGUUAGAUAGAUGUGGUAACAACAGAUAAUCUUUAAGUUAUUUCAGUUGGUCUCUUGUAACUUACUAGAGCUAGUUUAUUCUCAUGAUUUCUGAUUAAAGAAGAAAAUCUACCCAAGGUGGAUUCUCUCAUCAUUUUCUCAACUUCUUGUUUACAUGGUUGGUGUCCCCAGUUGGCGGUUGCUGCCCUAGUCUCGGCAAGGGUGCCAGCUAAUAACGGCAUUUGAGAUGAUUUGCUAUUUGAUAUAGUAAUAGAUGAAGCAGCACUUUGUCGUGCCUUCUCUUCCUCGUCUUGUUGAAUGACGGUUAGUUUCUGUCUCUCGGUCAGGGUUUUGGUGACGACAGGAGGCAAGAAGUCAUUGCCCCUGUAAAAUACAAUAUAUUCCUUAUUUCUAGAAAGUAGAGUUCCCCCAGUCAAUUUCUGCAAAUGCAUGAAAGGCAAACGCCGUAAGUUUGAAGAAUGGGAUAAUUUAUUCACUUUAAUAUGCAAUAGGGUAAAUUAUGAACAAAAACAGAUAUCGGAGUAUUUAAGCGUCAAGCACCAACAAUCCUUACAAUCUUUCUAGACAAACAAAUGUGUUGGUUAGCCUCCAAAAUGCAUGACCAUUGCAAAAGUAAAACUGCAGUCAAUCUUUUGUAUAUUAUUAAUUAAAUGAAUUUUUUAUGGGACCCAAAUCUCAUUAAAAAGAAUUCAGAACAAUAUAUUGACUACCUCCUUCAGGCAAUCCUUCAAUUGCGGCAAAUCAUUUGUGGUUUUAAUCUUAGCAACCCAUUCCCAUGAAUAUUAUCAAACUGUAAAUAUUGACAACCUAUAAUGCUAUUUUCUACAUGUUGGAAAAUUUCACACCAAUGUAAGCACAACCUGGUAAGUUCAAGAAGUCAAGUUGCUGUGUUCUGAACCAAGAGUGCUGUUUUCACUUUAACCCUGAUUAUGGUAUUAAAAACUAAUCUCAUUUACAAACUAAGCUAAUGAUUUGUUAUGAUGUACCUACAAUAUCGACCUUUGAUUUGUUAAUCAAUGACUGAUAUUACUCAUUUUAUACUUGAAAGUGAACUGCUCAAUUUAGAGGAACCAGAUCUCCUUUUUAGCAUGAUAAAUUCCAAAGCAAUUAAAUUAAACAGUAAUAUUGUCAAAUUUCUAGCGGUUCAUGAGAAAUACCUUGAGUACUUCAGCCAUCCUAUCAUUAGAUGCAAAGGGAACACCACGUUUGAUGGCUAUUUUUGCAAUAGCACUUGUUUCCCACAGCUUUACUAUAGCUCUAGCCAGACCUUGCAGUUCUCUAUUUCUUCCUGCAGCAGUAAAUAAUAGUAUCUUUUGGAAAGAAAAAUUUGAAGGCAUGAAUGUAACUAGAGAGCUUCUGGCAUACCAAGGGCAAAGUGUGGAGCUGUUCUUCUAGCAAUUCUACGCAUGACAGUUGUUUCCUUGUUGGAUAAACAAGCUUUCACCCCAUAUGGAAGAAGUCUGAAUGGUGUUUUAUACCCUUGAACAACAGCAGGUAACUGGUCUGCAUCAACAGGUAAAGGCUCACAGCCUGUCCAAUCUUUGAAGCGUGGACCCAAUUCAUCUAACAAAAGGUUGAGUUCGAUCAAUUCCAUCUUUUCUUCUUCACUCUUAUCCUUCAAAUACUCUGCAGAGUCUUGAUUAAAUGAUUCAAUAGGUCUAUCUGUUUCUUUCACACUUACUUGAGCAUUACUUCCACUUACAACAUGCAUCGAAUGAUCAACAUCAUUCUUCUUCUGAGCAUCAUAAACUUUUUUGUAUGAUUCUACACAAGGUAGUUUGUAGGUCAUUCCUCGAUAUAACACUAUGGAACUGCCCGAUCGCCAUACCACAAUACCUCCAGUUUUACUCUGAUCAAGAAAGAAAGUAAUACUAUGAAUGUAAAGGCUCUAGCAAUUCAAAUAUCCCUUGAUAAAAGACAAGUUAUUAUAAGCAAGCAACCACACUAUGACCCUGUUUGAAUAAACAACAUGACAUGAUUAAGGGCCUGUUUGGAUUUGGCAUAUUUUUUAGCUUAUGAAAAUAGUUGAUGCAAAUAAAUAAAGUUUUAUGUUAAUUUAUAAGUUUUCACUAACAAAAAUUGUAUCUUCAUAAGCUUUUUUCUCGUAAACUACUUUGAAAAGCUUAUAAUAAUACAUACAUACUAAAAGCUUAUUUAUUUGCAUAAGUUGUUUCGCACAAGCUCAAAAAUAAGUCAAUCCAAACGGGCCCCAAGUGUUUAUAGCAUAAGUGUUCAUAAUAUAAGUGCUUAUCUAUAGUCUAUCUCUAUAAGAAAUAAUAAAAUAAGGUUAAAUUAUAUUCAUACAAGUUAUAAGCCGUUUUCAUAAGCUAUCCUGAAGAGUUUACGAAAAUGAGCUAAAAACAACUUAGGAACAUGUCAUAAGUUGUUUCCAUAAGUCCUCUCAAACAGUCUCGCAAUAAUGCUAGCAGAUAAGCUCAAAUAAACCAAUCAAAAAAGUCCCUACAUAAACGACAUAAUUGAAGCAUAUGGAAGGAAGAGUGAACCUCAAGAAUUUGAUGAGCCCUUUUCAUAUUAGCAGAAAGAGGAGAAUCAAACUUGAACUUAACAACUUCAUUAACAACCCAUUUUUUAUGAAUAGAAUCCACCAAUUCUUGAGUGAUACCAGCAACUCCAACACUGAACCUUUCCACCAUUCUCAAAGCAAUACUUCUAAGCCUCCGUAAUUCAUGUUCAGGAAUCAACCUCUCUGCCAAUUCAGUAUUGCUUCUCCUUUUCUUCAAACUACUUUCUGAUUCUUGAACUUCUCUUUCCAUAACAGAACUACCAGAAUUUUUCUGUAACGGUUUCUUAUUUUCUUCAUUGUCCUCAGAAGCAUCAAAUUCAGACACAUUUUGUGGAUGUUUAGAAUUUUCUGCCACGUGCCAAGGUGAUAAACGCUUUGGAAACUCGAAAUUUAGCAUCGUUGAAGACACGUCUUCUUGAGAUUGAGGUUGUGGUCGUUCCUCUAGUUCUGGUUCUUGUUGUUGUUCUUCUGGUUCUUGCCAUGGGAAUUUUUCUCUCUGGGAAGCUAAUUUGAGGGACCAUUUAUCUCGAAUUUGGUCGGCGAAACUUGGUCUGGAGUUGUUGUUUUUCUUCUUCUUAACAACGUUAAUUUGGACUUGAGUUGUUUCGUUGGAACAAGAAAGUGCGAAUUUGAAAAUGGCGUUGGUUUUGGUUUGAAUUAGCGGUUGGAAAAACUGAAAAUGCAGAGAAGAUAUUGGUUGGAGUUGGAGUUGGAGCGCCAUCAAAUUAAUCUACCUCUUUCACAGAGAAGAUACUGCUUCAGCAAAACGGAGAGUUUUUUUUUUUGGGUUAACUGAUUUGCAAUGAAAAGGGCCAAGCCCAAAGGCCCAUUAUUUCAAAGAAAUGAGAAGACAGAAAAAGAUAGUCCAUUGUUGUUAUCAUAAUCUUAGUCAGCUUCUUUUUACACCCCUUGAUUCUUAAACCUCACUCCCGUUUAAAUUUAAGCAAACAUAUUCAAUGAGGGACUAAAAUGACAAAAUCUUGACAUUACAAUGGAGUAAUCGAAAAAAUAAUAUUACAGGGGAUAAUCAAAAUUCUCUAACAUUACAUGUAGUAAGCACUAUUUAACCCUAAAAAUUGCUUUAAAUGAAAAGUUGUUUUAAGUAGUUUUUCCAAAAAAAAGUUAAUCACUUUUGAUCAUUAUAUAAAAAAAAAAUCACUUUUUAAACCAUUUUUUUCAAAUAAUUUUCUAAUGGUAAACAAAUACAAAAAAAUAAAAUAAAAUCAGUUAAUAUGUGAAUUACUAAAAAUUAAUCUUCUAAAUUGUCUAAUAUCUAAGUUAUUUUCUUUUAUAAUAAUCUCUAACAAAUAUGGGUCCUAAAAGCAUAAUAUGGAAUUAAUUCAAGCAAACAAUUAUAAAUAUGGCACUCCAUGCAUGCAUGUGUUUUUUGUUCUGUUCCUUGUUGAUGAUGAUGAUGAUAGCAUUAAAGUUGUAUAUUUUUUUCAUUUGUGCAUGAAUCAUGAUGAUGAUCAUCUUUAGAAUAUUUAGCUAUCAUUACAUAUUUACAAUAAAGAUUCUCUCAUGUCAAUUUUUCUAUACCGUAGCCUAUUAAUCCACGACAAAACAAUUACUAGUAAUUUUGAAAUCUAGCUAUGAACUGAAAAAUGUGAUGUGAUAUGUCAAACUUUAACAUCCUUAAUCGAAUUUUUAGAAGACAAAAGGCACACCUAGCUAAAUGUCUAUAGACAAAGUGAACACAGAAAAACACAUUUUACACACACCUUAUAGCGAUAGAUACAUUUCAUGGGGUGGCAGGCUAGCUUGGUUCCCUUUGGUUGGGGUCUAUGAUAUGUAUGUUCCACGGUGAUCCAGUUCAACAUUUUCUAUGGUUUGGAGAGUACUCCUUAUACCGAAAAUGAGGACGAUGAUGGAUAACAUUUUAAAUGAUGAAGUGAAUAAAUAAUCUUUGCUACCGUUCUAACCCAUUGACAUUUGAUCCACCCUAGCUCACUACAAAAAUCUAUUCUAGGUACACAAUUUCUAUUCCUAAAAAUCUUACCGUAUUUGCUCUCAUCAUUUCUUGAGAGCAAAAUGGAGAAAAUAGGGGGGGCGAUGAUGAAGAAUAUUUUAAAUGAUGAAUUGAAUAAAUACUCCGAGCUACAGUCUUAAUUCAUUGACAUCUCUAUUUGGAUCUAACCUAACUCACUACAUGUUGGUAUUCAUUUUGAUAAACGUCGAUCAUAACGAUCUCUCUCACACACAUACAAACAAAUACAUCGACAAUUUUUUUUUUAUACGUACAGAGCACAUCGACAAUUUUAGAUACACAAUUUCUAUUCCUAAAAAUCUCAAACUAUUUACUCUCAUCCUUUCUUGAGCUUUAGAAUGUUUAUAGGUACCCACAAACUAUGUUUAUAGGAACCCACAAACUUCAAUUUUAACUAAUUACUACAUGACAUCAAAUCAACAUUCUAAUCACUCCAAAUUAAUUAAUACUUUAGAUGGAAGUAAAGAAAAUCUAACCAUUAUUAUUUCAAUAAACUUGGGCACAAUGGCGACAUAUAUAUUCAUAAUCAUCAAGCUCACUUAACAUGCAACAAUACAUUCAUAUAGUCAUGGCGACGUUUAACAUGCACAAGUUUCUUAAAUGGUGCAUGGUGUACAAGUAGUGAAUUACAUUAUAAUAAAUACGAAUUUUAUAAAAUUCAUCGUUGAUUUGAAAAUUUAUAUCUUAUAGAUCAUCCAUAAUUUUUUUUAAAGAAAUUGAAAAUUAUUUGAUAUGUUAUAAAGAUCCGUCAAAAUUAACAGUAUUCAAUAAAAAUCAUAAACGGUUAAUUUGAUGGAUUUCAAUAACAUAUAAAAUGAUUUUUAAUUUCUUUAAAAAAAAUUAGGGAUAAUCUAAUGAUAUAAACUUUCAAUCCAACGGUGAGUUUUGUAAAUUCAUAUUCGUUAUAAUGUUAUUCAUUACUGAUACACCAUACAUCACGUGAGAAACUCGUGCAUGUUGGAGAAAGGUUAUAGUCCUCAAUCCUCAUGCAGUACUGUAUAUGUAUGAAACACAACCCCCCACUAGUCACUACUCACCACCACCUAAAGAAGAAAAAGAGGCAUGUUUCAUUUUCAGUGAUUGCUGGCAACAGCCAUUAUCAUUCCAAUUCCAUAAUACGAACUGUUGUGAUGCGAUAUUAAUUUGCUCUGGCCCGCAGCUCCGGUCUUCAGAUCCGAUUUGAUAUGGAAAUCCUUUUUCAUGGAAUCUUUGAAAUUCUUAUUAUUUUAUACACUUAUAUAAGCUCGUAUUCUUUCCAAAUAUUUUUAGGAUUUAAUAAUUCAUAUGCAGUGACACCGUGUAAAAUUACAAAAAAUUGACUUUCAUCCUAUCUAGUAAUUUUAUUUUAUUUUUAAACAAUCCUAUCUAGUAAUUUAAAAGUACUUCAUCGUCCAUCCGAUUCUUUUUAAGCGUCUUUUUAGAAAAAUCACUACAUUAUAUACUCCAUCCGUUAUAGUAAAAAAAAAAUUAAAAAAUUUGACGGGGUGCCCCGUCAACUCAUCAACCCGCCAAUAAACAGAGUGGAGUUGAAUUUUACUCGCACAUCUAAAUUGAUGUGCCCCGUCCAUGGUCGUUUCUGAGGGAGGACAAUUGUCCUAGGUCCUUAAAAAUUAGGGGCCCAAUAUAUAUUUUUUAGGAGUAUAUAUAUAAUGUAUAAUGUUCUUAUGCAUCAAAUGUUGAUGUAGGCAUUGGUAUGACCACUUCAUCCCUCCUUUAUAUAUUUAUGAUCUACAAAUUGGGGUAUUUUUGUUGCUAAAUGGAGGGAUGCUUUAAUUAAAAAUGAGUCUAUUAAGGAAUUGAAUCUCACAUUUCCUAAAGACAAUAUUUCUAGGCAUUUGUCAUAUUCUUAUUUUUCUAGAAUGUUGAGUAAUGGAGAGACUUUUGAAAGAAAAUGGUUGGUUUACUCUAAACAUGUGGAUAAAAAUAUUGUUUUUGUUGUAAAUUUUUCACUUCUCAAAAUAGCAGCCAUAUGAUUUUUUUAGCAAAUGAUGGAGUGAAUGAUUGGAAACAUCUAAAAAUACUCGUAGAAAUUAUUUUAUAUGAAUUUAAUUUUUUUGGUCUAGAUUUUGUAUGAAUAUUUUAAUAUUAAAUAAAAAUUUCAAUGUUUUUUUGGAAUUCGAUUUUUUUAUACUCUUUAGUAGUUAAACCUAAAUUAUAAAUUCGCCCGUAAACCAUCAAAAUCAUAAAAAUGGGGCUGGCUCCGUCCCAUUUUUGGUGCGGGUAUGAGCCUAAACGGGACAGGCUGCUCGCUUUCUCACCCUAGUAUAUCAAGUAUCAAUACCCUAAAUCUAUAUACCUACAAAUUUACCAUCAAAUAAUGCCACCUAGUCAACCAUAUCUUUAUUUUCUUUGGCUUGGAACUAGUCUACUAUAUAUACAUUGGAGGGAAUAUCUAAUGGAAGUGACAUAACAUAAUCUUAGUUUCAUUUCCCUGCUUGACUUUUCAUUGAUAAUAACAAUGUUACCUUAGAUGCUCACAAACGAAAUCUUGUCCCGAAGAAAAUCUUGUCCCUUGUCUCCAUCAGUUUCCAUUGUUAUAUACCCUUCCAUGCAUGAAUCAAAAAAGUUCGAUGAAUCAGAGUGACUGAUUCUGUGAUCCCAAAAUCAAAUCUUAGGAGAUCUUAUGAUAGUAAUUGCCAAAUUUUUGACUAUCCUUAAAAUGGAAAUACAAAUUCCAAUGUGGAUGUAAGAUAAUCUAUAAAAGAUCUUAUAUUAAAGUGACAAGGUGGUUUAAUUAGAAGGACAAAUAUAAAGAUUGAAUUUUAAGAUAUAAAGAGGUUGACUUGACCCACUCUUUCACAGAAAUUUCUAACACUCAACUACUAAUAUUUGUGAUAUGAAAUCAAAAUAAAAAAUAAAGUAUUGAACAUAUAUAAUUGUGUGUUCAAUGUGUUGCUUUCUUAUCACUUAAUACAUGUAUAUUUAUUUACUUUUAUAAAAAGAUAAAAUAAAAAUAUGUUACUUGAUCCUAUGGGAUGAAAAUAUGUCCAAUUGCUGGGAAUCGUCGUGACCGUGAUGAUUCAUGCAAUAUCAUAGGAUAUAUACGCGUACGUAAUAGUAUUAAAUAUUUCUUUUUAAUAUAGGAGUAUACUCCUAAUCCUAUAGGUUACCACACAUGAAAUUUCAUGAUGACGUUUUUACAUUACCAUUUGGUUCUACACUUCUACUAAUAUCGUAUCUUUGAAUUUGACAUUUUAUGGGCUUUGUAAAGAAAAUCAAUUAUGAUAAGAACGUUGUAUUAUAAAUGUAUAGGAUCGUAGUUUGAAUCUCGGUCAUCACAUUUAUCUAUCUUAAAAGUGAAAUUUUUAAUCACUAAAAUACAUAACCAAAAAGGAAAAAAACUUGAAUCCGACUUUUUAAAAUAAAUUAAGGGUCCGUUUGGAUUGACUUAUUUUUAAGCUUAUGCGAAAUAGCUUAUACAAAUAAAUAAGUUUUUAUGUAUUAUUUUAAGAUUUUCAAGGUAGUUUAUGAGAAAACAACUUAUAAAAAUACAAUUUUUGUCGGUGAAAACUUAUGAAUCGACGUAAAAAUUUAUUUAUUUGCAUAAUUCAUUUUUAUAAGCUCGAAAAUAAGUCAAAUCCAAACAGACCUUAAGAUCAAGAUGUAAAUACGAUCUGCCAUUUUUUUUAGAAACGAUAUGUCAUUACUAUAUGUUAAAAGCUUCUUUUUUUAAGGUAUAUUUGGCAAGACAAAAUGUUAGCUUAUAAUUUAUAACUUAUAAUUUUUAUUUUUUUGGUACAAAUGACUUAUAAUUUAUAUGACUAAAAAAAAUAAUAUUAGAUAAAAAAAAAAUUGGGCUAAGUUAAAUUUCCAUCAUGACUUUGGUCCUACUUUUUUAGUCAACUCAUGUAAAUUAUUCAAAAUUUUAAAAAAAAUUUAUAAAAGUUUAAAUUUUUUUUUUUAACAAGGGAUACAUUAAAUAUGCUUUUUUUUUAAGAUUUUGGCAUUUAAAUAUUCAUAUUUAAUUCAUCUUAUAUUAAGAAAUUCUAAAUUUUUAUAAUGUGCCUUCUUCUCUGCACCAGUUAAUUAUUAAUAAAAUGAUCUAGCUUUGCUUUUACUAGCUAAAACAAAAUUUAAAUUUUUAUGGGUGAGAUUCUUAUAAUAUAAUAAAAGAUUAAAUAUAUUUUUGGUCUCAACAUUUUAUUCGCUUUUUAGCAGUAGUCUCCACAUUUCAAAAAUGUUUUUAAAUCCAUAUAGUUUACAUUUGUUACAAAAUUUAGUCCCUCUAUUUCUUUUCUAGGCAGAAAUUAAGCUGACGUGACACACGGUGGACAUGAUUAAAUACGUUUUUUGUUCCUAUAUUUUCCUCACUUUUUUAACAAUAAUCCAUACAUUUAAAAAUAUUGUUUUUAAUUAAAAUUCCUAUGGUUUACUUCAGGUACCAAUAGUCUCUUUGUUUGUUUUAGGCUUAAAGCUGACGUGUCAAAAACAAUAUUAUAUAUUAGCCAAAUUAAUCACCUAAUUAAUCCAAAAUGUUUCAAAAUGUUGUGGCUAGUAAUUAAAUCACCUAAUUAAAGAAAUUAAUCAAAUGUUAAAUAAACUAUCAUUAGUUAGUAAAAAAGAGUAAACUGUCAUUUUAAAUUUUAAUUAAAAAAAAGGAAACGCAAGUGUCCCUGUCCACCACUCGACCCACUACUCUGAGUCCCUCCACCGCAACUGAAAGUCGACGACAUAUCAAGCAUUUUCGUCCUAUGUUGAUCAGAAUAAUUAAAGAUAAUAAUUAGUUGUGUUAAUUUUAAUGAUAAAAGAAGCUUCAUUUAUUAAAAUACAAUAAAUAAUCAUGUACUGGUGAAACUAAUUGAAGCACAUUAAUUACAAAAUAAUCACGUUUUGAUGAUGGCAAAAUAAAAAGUUUCUCGAGCUUAGUUUACUUGCAGAAACAUUGCAUUAUAUAUAUAUAUGGGUCGGAAUUCGAACUCCGGUCAUCCACUUGUCCAUAUUAGAGUAAAAUUUAUAGCCACUAAACUAUUUGAAAAAAAAAAUAAAAAAUAAUGUCAAACAACCGUACAACAGAUUAAAGCAUAUACCGACGGACAUUUAUUGUCAUCGACUUGCUUCCUUGACUAUAAGUUAUAGCGACGGAUUAUUGUCUGCUUGAGGAAAUAUCUUGCUUUUCUAAGGUUUUGUUUCCAUGGUCUAAAUUUUAAUGAAAACUCCUUUUUCUUAUACCGUUGGCAUAUAAAUUUAGUAUAAGUAAAACAAUAUAUACAUACUUAGUUAAGUUAACUUUUGUUGGCAUACUCUCCUUUCUUUUUCUCCUCUUCUAACUUUAUCAAAGAUGAGGUGGUUUAAGGUCGGAAUCAUCUCUCUAAAAUAUUUUUUUAUUUUUUAAUUAAAUAAGUGUGAUUUUUACACAUAUAUUUAGUGUUUCUUUCAAAAAAUUAUUAUUGAGAUUUUAUCUUUUUUUAUGUGGUGUAUUUUGUUUUUUUUUUCUUUGUGCAAUGUAUUAAUAAUAAAUAAAAAAAUUAAAAGAAAGUACAAUUUUUAAGUUAACUAUAAAUAAAAGGAAAAUGCAAAAUAUUGUUCCCGAACACUAAUUAAGUAUAUUAAUAUAGAAGUUUUAUCUUAAAAAUUGUGCAUUUAAUACCUUAAAAACAUAAAAACUUAUCUUUUUAGCAUUUAUUUUAUCUUUAGUUUCAUUUUUUAGUAUGCUUAACAAAUAUCCCGAGACACUGUUUAGCAUGACCCUAAAUAAAAUUAUCUUUAUCUUUAUUUAUUAUAGUCAUAGACCCUUAAUUAAAUAAUUUUUGAAGUGGUCUUAAUUAAAUGGAUGUAUAUAUCAAUAUAUGAAUUUAUGGGAUAUAUAUGAAAAUUCCUUUUUUCAUGACUCAUGACUCUUUCCCAUGCAAGUUCCUCUAUUUAUAGCUAGCCCUUGCCAGUUGUCCCUUGCAUAUUCUCCAUUUUCAUCAACAAAAUGACUAAAACUUACCCUUUUUUCAUCAAUUUCAUACUACUACUACUAUUAACCACAUCCCAUUUAAAAUCCACCGUACAAAAAUCAGAUCAAUGCAAAACUCUGGUACCACCAGAGCUAGCAAAUUUAGACACUAUAUCCAAUAAACUCCAUAAUGACCCUAAAACCAUCAAAAUUGCUUCCAAUGACUAUGGAAACAUAAUUCAAGAAUUCCCAAUAGCAGUAUUUCAUCCAUCUUCAAUACAAGACAUAAUAACCUUAAUUAAAAUCUCAAACAAUAGCUCUGUUCCUUUCACUAUAGCAGCCAGAGGACAAGGUCACUCUACUAAUGGACAAUCAAUGGCACGUGAUGGAGUUGUAGUUGACAUGGCUAGCUUCAGAAAACAAAGAAAAGGGAUUGCAAUUAGUGUCUCUGAAGACCCUUUGAUUGGUUACUAUGUUGAUGUUGGAGGAGAACAACUAUGGAUUGAUGUUUUGUAUGAAACACUUGAAUAUGGAGUUGCACCAGUUUCUUGGACUGAUUAUCUUUACCUGACGGUUGGAGGAACACUUUCCAAUGCUGGAAUUAGUGGUCAGACGUUUAGAUAUGGUCCUCAAAUCACUAAUGUUCUUGAACUGGAUGUGAUUACAGGUAUGAUUAAUCAUGAAAGUUUGCAAAUCAUUAAUUAUAUAUAGAUUGUUAUUUUUGUCUCUUUUUCUAAUUUCUAAUGGAAAUUAAUGCUAACUAGUGUCACACUAUAGCUUAUGGAAAAUGCUAAAGUGUGGUAGACAAUUAAAUUUAUCAAUACUGUAUAAAAAUUAUGUCUUGAAAUUUUUGAAAUUUAUAUAUUUAAUACUGUGUAAAAAGGUAUGUUACCAAUAUUAAUUUUAUCUUUUUUUUUGUAUGCUUAACAAGUGUUUCGGAGGCACUGUUUAGCAUUACUCGUAGUUUAAUAUAAUAAAAUAGUUUUGGAUCAAAGCCACUAAUUUUGGUUUAGUGGUGAGAGUUUUGGAUAAUAGGCUAGAGAUUGUAAGUUUGAUCCCCGACUUUAUUGUAAAAAAAAAUAAAAAAGUUUUGGAUCUUAUGUAAUUAAUCUUUUUAAAAUAUUAAAAAUGUUGAUUUUAAUACAAAAUUUAUAUCUUUUAUUUUUCUUAACUAAUUAUGUGAAACACUAGUUAGCAUGACAUUUUUUUAAUUUGCCAUAUUUUUGUUCUCAAGGUUAUUACUUUUUUUUAAGAAAGAGAGGAUUCUUGGAGUAUUAGUUUUUUUUUNNNNNNNNNNNNNNNNNNNNNNNNNNNNNNNNNNNUUUUUUGAAGACCGGAGUAUUAGUUAAUAUAGAGAGUAUAAUAAUAAAUUUUUGUUGCGACUAUAAAAAAUAUUUGAGGUAAAUAAGUGAGAGAUCUUAGAGUUUUUUUAUAAGUAAAUGGUACUAUAUAAAGGAACUACUAAAGAGAGAUCUUAGGUUUGAACUUUGGUCCUGUCUGUAUGACACUAGCUAGCAUGAGACUUUCUUAACUACCAUAUUAUUUGUUCAAUUUCUUUUCCUCAAUUUCUCUCAAUUUAUACAUCUUAAUCAUUGAUCAAUUUUUCAUCAUUUUUUUAUAAUUAAAAUAUUAACACGUAUUUUUUANNNNNNNNNNNNNNNNNNNNNNNNNNNNNNNNNNNNNNNNNNNNNNNNNNNNNNNNNNNNNNNNNNNNNNNNNNNNNNNNNNNNNNNNNNNNNNNNNNNNNNNNNNNNNNNNNNNNNNNNNNNNNNNNNNNNNNNNNNNNNNNNNNNNNNNNNNNNNNNNNNNNNNNNNNNNNNNNNNNNNNNNNNNNNNNNNNNNNNNNNNNNNNNNNNNNNNNNNNNNNNNNNNNNNNNNNNNNNNNNNNNNNNNNNNNNNNNNNNNNNAAAAUUAUCCUAUCCUGCUGGUAACUCAGCUCAAAUUCAGGAUAAGAAUUUUAACUAGAGAGACAUGAUAGGAUAAGCUACAGGAUUAACUUAUCAUAUUCUGUUGUGUCACCAAACACUGGACUGAAACAAGAUAUGAUACAGUUAUCCUAUCCUGUCUCUUAUCCUGUGCACCAAACGGGAGUGUUUAAUCUUAGACCUCCUCAAUAUAACUUUUUCAGCUAAUCCUUGUUAUACCUAAUCUUUUGGUUUUUAGGUUUAGCAUUUUUAUUAAAUUUUACAUUUUCAAAAAAAAAAAAAAACUUUUUCAGCGUCUAUAUAAGCUUUAAUUUUUAUUUUUUGAAUGACAAAUAGUAAGUUUUAAUUAGCUGUCUUACAUAUUCAUGCUUAAUACUAAUCAGGAAUAUUCUUUUCCUUUUUUGACUCUAUAGUCUUUGCCUAAGUACUAUAAUUAUAGGUAAAUGAUGUGAAAUGUUUCCUCAAGGUUAGAAUAAGUUCACACGGUCCAAGUCUCCUACUCUUGACAAACUUGUAUGUUAUUAGUCCAAGUCUUAAUUAAUUUUUCAAUUAUCUAGCUUUCAUAUAGAAAAACCGUAGAAAACAGCAUGGAAAAACAUACCGUUAUUGAUGUAUAUACAACAUGCAUAUCCUUUGUAAUUAAAAUAUUUAAUUAAUUGUUGUCAUAAUCUAUCUACCUAAUUGGUUUGGUUUUUAGGAAAAGGAGACUACGUAAAGUGCUCUAAUGAGAAGAAUUCAGAGUUAUUUAACGCGGUUCUUGGAGGUUUAGGACAAUUUGGAGUUAUAACAAGGGCAAGGAUUUCUCUUCAGCCAGCUCCCACAAUGGUACGGUUAUACACAAUUGUCAAUUAAAUUUUGUCUUGUAGUUCUUUUUUCUCCAACAUAAGUACACCAAAUCUAGUUGUCAUAUAGUAUAUAUUUUUUGACCAUAUCAUGUUUUAAUUUUAUGAGAUAGGCUAUGUCCUUGUCGUCCAUAACCCACUAUGAUGUCUAUAUGUUUUCUUGGAAGUUACGGGUCAUAUAUUCCCCUUUAUCUAUUCCAUUGGUCAUAUCCACUAAAGACACAUUCACAAAUGAUAAUAGGGUAUAUUGAGUUAUAUGUACACAUAUAUAAGAGUAUGAAUCGUUGAAUUAAUAUGAUAUAUGAUAUGGACUUUUGAAAUUAAAAAUGUAUCUUAUGAGUCUAUAAAAAUAAAAUAAAAUAAAUCACUCUUGAAAUUAUAACACUUGGAUCAUGAGCAAAUGAUAAGCUGGUAGAGGUGAGAAUAGAUUAUUAGGUUGAUCUAAGACUUUACAAAACAUAAUUCGGUACGAUAAACAAAAUUCUAGCACCCAAAUCUAGUAUAUUACUUAUUAUUGACUUAUCUUUGGUAUGAGUCUGAUCAUUUUUAGCCAAAUACCUGCCUCCGAUAUUAUAUAUAGAAAAAAAUUAUUUUUUAGAUUCAUUGUAAAAUUUAUGUAUUUAGACGACCUGAUGGAGUAGUUUUAGCGUGAGUCUGUUAGCCUCUCUUUCGGUUGAUCAGACCUACUUCCAUUCCUACUUAUAGUUACGAGUAGUCAUAUUUUUCUCACUUAUACUAAAGAAUUUUCAUUUAUAUAAUUAUAAUUAUUCUUUUAAAAGGCAAAAUAGUUCAUAUUAUUAUUUUUUUUUCUUCGAAUUUUGUAGUGUGUCUCGUUACAUAAAAAAAAAAACACAUUAUCGAUGUAGAAUUAGUUUGCAUAUAUGUGCCAUUAAAUAAUGUGGCAACACAUUAGACAGGGAGUGAAAUGAUUUCGCAUAUUACAGCAUAUAGAAAUUAAAUU
rnacentral:lncRNA from 1 species